UUGGAUGGAAACCAAGCGCAGAGUGCAAAGGCAAAAGGGUGUUUGACUGCGAGACCUACAAGUCGAGCAGGGACGAAAGUCGGGCUUAGUGAUCCGGCGGUGCUGAAUGGAAAGGCCGUCGCUCAACGGAUAAAAGCUACCCUGGGGAUAACAGGCUGAUCUCCCCCAAGAGUUCACAUCGACGGGGAGGUUUGGCACCUCGAUGUCGGCUCAUCGCAUCCUGGAGCUGAAGUCGGUUCCAAGGGUUGGGCUGUUCGCCCAUUAAAGCGGUACGCGAGCUGGGUUCAGAACGUCGUGAGACAGUUCGGUCCCUAUCUGUCGUGGGCGCAGGAAAUUUGAGAAGAGCUGUCCUCAGUACGAGAGGACCGGGAUGGACGCAUCAAUGGUGGACCAGUUGUCACGCCAGUGGCAUAGCUGGGUAGCUAAAUGCGGAAGGGAUAAACGCUGAAGGCAUCUAAGUGUGAAACCCACUUCAAGAUGAGAUUUCCCAUUGCGCAAGCAAGUAAGACCCCUUAAAGACGAUAAGGUAGAUAGGUCAGGAGUGUAAGCAUGGUGACAUGUUAAGCGGACUGAUACUAAUAGGUCGAGGGCUUGACCGAAA
rnacentral:rRNA from 1 species